rnacentral:rRNA from 1 species
UACGUAGGGUGCGAGCGUUGUCCGGAAUUAUUGGGCGUAAAGAGCUCGUAGGCGGUUUGUCACGUCUGCUGUGAAAUCCCGAGGCUCAACCUCGGGCCUGCAGUGGGUACGGGCAGACUGGAGUGCGGUAGGGGAGAAUGGAAUUCCUGGUGUAGCAGUGAAAUGCGUAGAUAUCAGGAGGAAUACCGAUGGCGAAGGCAGGUCUCUGGGCUAUAACUGACGCUCAUGCACGAAAGCGUGGGGAGCAAACAGG